ACGGCGGCCGUAACUAUAACGGUCCUAAGGUAGCGAAAUUCCUUGUCGGGUAAGUUCCGACCUGCACGAAUGGCGUAAUGAUGGCCAGGCUGUCUCCACCCGAGACUCAGUGAAAUUGAACUCGCUGUGAAGAUGCAGUGUACCCGCGGCAAGACGGAAAGACCCCGUGAACCUUUACUAUAGCUUGACACUGAACAUUGAGCCUUGAUGUGUAGGAUAGGUGGGAGGCUUUGAAGUGUGGACGCCAGUCUGCAUGGAGCCGACCUUGAAAUACCACCCUU
rnacentral:rRNA from 1 species